CUAAAAUGGCACAAAAUCUUCCUAUCCCUAUGUUCAUGUCCUUUGCAGUGUGACAGUUUUUCCUAUCUAGAGGUGAGGUCUAUUUCUUCACCCCUUAAAUUCUGACCUGUCCAUGUGACUUGCUUUGGUCAAUGAGAUAUUAGCAAUUGUGAUGUAAGCAGUGGCAUACAAAAUACUUGUGCAAUGGCACCACCCUCUUUCAUUGCCCACGCUCUUAAAACUAUCAUGUGAAUAAUGUCAAACUAGCCUACAGGUGUGGAUAAGAGACCAGAUGGAAGAGAAUUAAGAUGCCUUGACUCAUAGUCUUGCCAGUCACUGGACACAGUGAGGUCACCCUAUAUCAUUCAAAUACCAGCCAUUUACCAGCUGACCAUGAAUACGUGAGACAGCACAGCCCAGCACCCAGGAUGGGUCAGGUCAGAAGCACAGAACCAAUCAACAGAAUACUGAAGUAAAUGAAAGGGAACCUGAGAAUUCAAAUUCUGGUUUCUACAUCUGAGAGAGAGGACCAAUGGAAAUUUCCCCAAUUAUGGAAAUGCUAUUCAAGAGGUGAUCAUUAAUAUGACAAAUGGCAGCCUCUCACAGCUGGAAGUUUGUCUCCUUUCCUGUUCUCUUGAGUAAAUCUAAUGCAUGAUAUUAGUAUAAGCAAGGAAUAUAGGGAAUACCAGCAAACAGCUAUUAAUAAGUGUGAAAUAGAGUUCUAUUCUCUGAAUUUAGACUCUAAUUUAGACUCAGUCAUAAGACUGAGCAUUGAUGCUCUUUGGUUUUGAAAAUUAUCCCACCUUUAGAAAGGAUUCCUUCUUUGGCCUCAGGCCAGAAUUAAUGGUGUGAGGAGAGCACAGCAUUAAGAAAGAGCCCAGCUCCACAAUGCUGGUGUUGGUCUCUACUUUUGCCAGCAGUGGGCCUACCACACCUGUUAUUACAAGAAGUGCUAAGGCAGCAGAGCAAGCAGCAACAGAGACAACAUCAGCAGGAAAACCCCAACUGCCAGGAAGAGCAUAUAAUUAUCUCUGCCCUCUAGAGCACGAUUUCUUAACCAAGGAUUGUUGAAAAAUACACACGCUGAGUCCCACUCUGUCCAAGGUACUGAUUUGGUAGGUCUGAGCUAGUGUUUAGGCACCUAUAAUUUAUAACCAUACAAACAAAUAAAUGUUUCACAUGAAUCUGAGAUAUGAUCUUUGUUUAAAAAUACUGCUGUUAUGGGAGAAAAGAUACCUUUUUUGUGGAAAGAAGCAUGAGAGGGCUGAUAUUCUAUAUUUGGUUAAUAUCUACAGUGAAAGACAAAAUUGGGAGUAAUUAGUGUGCAUGCCUUCAGUUGUAAUCUGAGAAGAAACCUUAUGUAGAAUGGGAGGAUGAGUGGGGCAUAAAUGGUCAGAAAGAAUUAAAGCUCUA